GAGACAGCAGUAGCCACGGUAAUACGUAGGUCCCGAGCGUUGUCCGGAUUUAUUGGGCGUAAAGCGAGCGCAGGCGGUUUGAUAAGUCUGAAGUUAAAGGCUGUGGCUCAACCAUAGUUCGCUUUGGAAACUGUCAAACUUGAGUGCAGAAGGGGAGAGUGGAAUUCCAUGUGUAGCGGUGAAAUGCGUAGAUAUAUGGAGGAACACCGGUGGCGAAAGCGGCUCUCUGGUCUGUAACUGACGCUGAGGCUCGAAAGCGUGGGGAGCGAACAGGAUUAGAUACCCCCGUAGUCCCUGUCUCUUAUACC
rnacentral:rRNA from 1 species